rnacentral:tmRNA from 1 species
GGGGCUGACUUGGAUUUCGACAGAUUUCUUGUCGCACAGAUUGCAUGCCAAGUGCUGCUUGUAAAACAGCAACAAAAAUAACUGUAAACAACACAGAUUACGCUCCAGCUUACGCUAAAGCUGCGUGAGUUAAUCUCCUUUUGGAGCUGGACUGAUUAGAAUUUCUAGCGUUUUAAUCACUCCAUAACCUUAAGCUAGACGCUUUUAAAAGGUGGUUCGCCUUUUAAACUAAGAAACAAGAACUCUUGAAACCAUCUCAAGGUUUUAGAAAGUUGGACCAGAGCUAGUUUUAAGGCUAAAAACUAACCAAUUUUCUAAGCAUUGUAGAAGUUUGUGUUUAGGGCAAGAUUUUUGGACUGGGGUUCGAUUCCCCACAGCUCCACCA